AUCCCUGUAACUCAGUUGGUAGAGCAUGGUGUUUGCAACGCCAGGGUUGUGGGUUCGAUUCCCACGGGGGCCA
rnacentral:tRNA from 1 species